GCGUGUAAAGUCUCCGAGUCAAGAAACCUACAGUAAUGUCCCAAGGUUUCUUGACCGAUAGGGAAUAAGAGGAAACAAUUAUUCCUCCCGUAUUUGGAAAGGAGAUGCGAAAAUAAAACU
rfam:Candidate division TA06 bacterium 34_109 MPJ_scaffold_2865, whole genome shotgun sequence.